rnacentral:misc_RNA from 1 species
CUAUUAAACCCUCUGUUACUUCUCGUCCUCGACCCCUCUCCAACAGAGGAAAAAAAAAGGGCGCUUUGUUUUUUGGAUCGCGAAAAUGCAAAGCGCAGCCUUCACCUUCUCUUCUUCUCAUUCGGUUCCUCUUCUAAAGCCUCGAAGGUCUUUGGUUAAUAAUAGUUUUACUGCUAGAUUCGAUCCUAUUCGCGCCUCUUCUAG